UGCAAUACUGCACUGGUAAGGUAUGGAUCCGAAACCUCUGGAAGGGCAACGAAGGCUCUCCAUACCCUACUUCGAUUCUAUACAUCCUCAGCAGUACAGAACGGUAUCAUGCCAUUCCAAAUAUCUGGA
rnacentral:ribozyme from 1 species